GAAGGGGGCUAGCGUUGCUCGGAAUUACUGGGCGUAAAGGGAGCGUAGGCGGACAGUUUAGUCAGAGGUGAAAGCCCAGGGCUCAACCUUGGAAUUGCCUUUGAUACUGGCUGUCUUGAGUACGGGAGAGGUGUGUGGAACUCCGAGUGUAGAGGUGAAAUUCGUAGAUAUUCGGAAGAACACCAGUGGCGAAGGCGACACACUGGCCCGUUACUGACGCUGAGGCUCGAAAGCGUGGGGAGCAAACAGGAUUAGAUACCCUGGUAGUCCACGCUGUAAACGAUGAGUGCUAGUUGUCGGCAUGCAUGCAUGUCGGUGACGCAGCUAACGCAUUAAGCACUCCGCCUGGGGAGUACGGUCGCAAGAUUA
rnacentral:rRNA from 1 species